AGCAGACCUGCAGGAUGACAGAUCGAAAACAUGGAGACUCACCGUUUCGCAGCAUCGAAAUGGGCUGCAAGCGGGACAUAUGUCUUGGAAAGCGGGCGGCGAGUGGGAGAGACGACGGAGGCGCCUCAGUACCCGCGACGGUCUCGGCCCUACGCCCUCAAGCACCCCGACUUUAUGGAAUCUUCCAGGUACUGACCUGCAGGGAUUCGGGACAAUUUCCUUCUCCUCUUCCUUUUUCCCUCCGCCGCAGGCCGGCCCGCCCUCAGGGCAGUGGGGAGCUGGUACUCAGACGGGAACAACGACCAGGACAAGAAGGACUUCUGCACACGUCAGCUCUUGGUCACGUGAGGGCUACGUCAUCCACCAACUCGGGUCCCCAAUUUCCCCUCCCACCAGCAGUGCGGCAGAAGAGGGCCCGCCCCCCUCCUUUCCCUCCCCCACACCAGGCCUUAUUACUCUUUCUUCUUCGAUAAUCUCAUCACCUUGUAGU
ensembl:lncRNA ARMCX3-AS1 ARMCX3 antisense RNA 1